rnacentral:rRNA from 1 species
UACGGGGGAGCAAGCGUUGUUCGGAUUUACUGGGCGUAAAGGGCGCGUAGGCGGUCAGCACAAGUCAGUUGUGAAAUCUCCGGGCUUAACCCGGAAAGGUCAACUGAUACUGUUGCGACUAGAGUGCGGAAGGGGCAACUGGAAUUCUUCGGUGUAGCGGUGAAAGCGUAGAUAUCGAGAGGAACACCUGCGGCAAGGCGGGUUGCUGGGCCGACACUACUG